rnacentral:rRNA from 1 species
CUUGCUUCUCUUGAGAGCGGCGGACGGGUGAGUAAUGCCUAGGAAUCUGCCUGGUAGUGGGGGAUAACGUUCGGAAACGGACGCUAAUACCGCAUACGUCCUACGGGAGAAAGCAGGGGACCUUCGGGCCUUGCGCUAUCAGAUGAGCCUAGGUCGGAUUAGCUAGUUGGUGGGGUAAUGGCUCACCAAGGCUACGAUCCGUAACUGGUCUGAGAGGAUGAUCAGUCACACUGGAACUGAGACACGGUCCAGACUCCUACGGGAGGCAGCAGUGGGGAAUAUUGGACAAUGGGCGAAAGCCUGAUCCAGCCAUGCCGCGUGUGUGAAGAAGGUCUUCGGAUUGUAAAGCACUUUAAGUUGGGAGGAAGGGUUGUAGAUUAAUACUCUGCAAUUUUGACGUUACCGACAGAAUAAGCACCGGCUAACUCUGUGCCAGCAGCCGCGGUAAUACAGAGGGUGCAAGCGUUAAUCGGAAUUACUGGGCGUAAAGCGCGCGUAGGUGGUUUGUUAAGUUGGAUGUGAAAUCCCCGGGCUCAACCUGGGAACUGCAUUCAAAACUGACUGACUAGAGUAUGGUAGAGGGUGGUGGAAUUUCCUGUGUAGCGGUGAAAUGCGUAGAUAUAGGAAGGAACACCAGUGGCGAAAGCGACCACCUGGACUAAUACUGACACUGAGUGCGAAAGCGUGGGGAGCAAACAGGAUUAGAUACCCUGGUAGUCCACGCCGUAACGAUGUCAACUAGCCGUUGGGAAGCCUUGAGCUUU